rnacentral:tRNA from 1 species
GGGUUCAGUGGUAGAAUUCUCGCCUUCCACGCAGGAGACCUGGGUUAGAUUCCCAGCCA